rnacentral:rRNA from 1 species
AGCGGGGCGGCCCUUUGGGGAGGGGCUCAUGUCCUAUCAGCUAGUUGGUAGGGUAACGGCCUACCAAGGCGAAGACGGGUAGCUGGUCUUAGAGGAUGAUCAGCCACACGGGGACUGAGACACGGCCCCGACUCCUACGGAGGCAGCAGUGGGGAAUAUUGGGCAAUGGGCGCAAGCCUGACCCAGCGACGCCGCGUGGGUGAUGAAGGCCUUCGGGUCGUAAAGCCCUGUCGGGAGGAAAGAACGGUCGGGCGGGGAAUAUCCGCCGGACGUGACGGUACCUCCGAAGGAAGCACCGGCCAAUUCCGUGCCAGCAGCCGCGGUAA